rnacentral:rRNA from 1 species
CCUACGGGCGGCAGCAGUGGGGCAUAUUGCACAAUGGGGGAAACCCUGAUGCAGCGACGCCGCGUGGGUGAUGGAGUAUUUCGGUAUGUAAAGCUCUAUCGGCAGGGAAGAAUUUGAACGGUACCGGACUAAGAACCCCCGCCUAACUACGUGCAAGCAGCGGCGGUAUUACGUAGGGGGAAAGCGUUAUCCGGAUUCACUGGGUGAAAGGGGGGCGUAGACGGCCAGGCAAGCAUGGAGUGAAAGCCCGGGGCCCAACCCCGGGACUGCUCUGGGAACUGUCUGGCUGGAGUGCGGGAGGGGCAGGCGGAAUUCCUAGUGUAGCGGUGAAAUGCGUAGAUAUUAGGAGGAACACCAGCGGCGAAGGCGGCCUGCUGGACCGCGACUGACGUUGAGGCUCGAAAGCGUGGGGAGCGAACAGGAUUAGAUACCCCAGUAGUC